rnacentral:rRNA from 1 species
GACGAACGCUGGCGGCGUGCCUAAUACAUGCAAGUAGAACGCUGAAGCUUGGUGCUUGCACCGAGCGGAUGAGUUGCGAACGGGUGAGUAACGCGUAGGUAACCUGCCUGGUAGCGGGGGAUAACUAUUGGAAACGAUAGCUAAUACCGCAUAACAGUAGAUAUCGCAUGAUAGCUACUUAAAAUGUGCAAAUGCACCACUACCAGAUGGACCUGCGUUGUUUUAGGUAGUUGGUGAGGUACCGGCUCACCAAGGCAACGAUACAUAGCCGACCUGAGAGGGUGAUCGGCCAGACUGGGACGGAGACACGGCCCAGACUCCUACGGGAGCGAGCAGUAGGGAUUCUUCGGGCAUGGGCGGAAGUUUGACCGCGCAACGCCGCGUGAGUGAAGAAGGUUUCCGGAUCGUAAAGCUCUGUUGUAAGAGAAGAACGCGUGUGCGAGUGGAAAGUUCACAGUGUGACGGUAACUUACCAGAAAGGGCCGGCUAACUACGUG